UCGGGAAUUUUGGGCAAUGGGCGAAAGCCUGACCCAGCAACGCCGCGUGAAGGAUGAAGUAUUUCGGUAUGUAAACUUCGAAAGAAUAGGAAGAAUAAAUGACGGUACUAUUUAUAAGGUCCGGCUAACUACGUGCCAGCAGCCGCGGUAAUACGUAGGGACCAAGCGUUGUUCGGAUUUACUGGGCGUAAAGGGCGCGUAGGCGGCAAUUCAAGUCAUCUGUGAAAUCUCCGGGCUUAACUCGGAACGGUCAGAUGAUACUGCUUUGCUAGAGUGCAGAAGGGGCAAUCGGAAUUCUUAGUGUAGAGGUGAAAUUCGUAGAUAUUGGGAAGAACACCAGUGGCGAAGGCGGCUAACUGGUCCGGUACUGACGCUGAGGUGCGAAAGCGUGGGGAGCAAACAGGAUUAGAUACCCGUGUAGUCCCUGAGCGGGCUGGCAAGGCGCAU
rnacentral:rRNA from 1 species